rfam:Burkholderia sp. H160 ctg00628, whole genome shotgun sequence.
GGUCAAGCGAACAAGUGCAUGUGGUGGAUGCCUUGGCGAUCACAGGCGAUGAAGGACGCGGUAGCCUGCGAAAAGCUCCGGGGAGCUGGCAAACGAGCUUUGAUCCGGAGAUGUCCGAAUGGGGAAACCCGGCCCGUAUGGGUCAUCCUGAACUGAAUACAUAGGUUCAGUGAAGCGAACGCGGUGAACUGAAACAUCUAAGUAACCGCAGGAAAAGAAAUCAACCGAGAUUCCCAGAGUAGUGGCGAGCGAAAUGGGAUCAGCCUGUACUCUUUAUCUGUAUUGUUAGUCGAACGCUCUGGAAAGUGCGGCCAUAGCAGGUGAUAGCCCUGUAGACGAAAACAGCAUGGAAGAACUGGGUGUACGAAAAGUAGGGCGGGACACGUGAAAUCCUGUCUGAAGAUGGGGGGACCAUCCUCCAAGGCUAAAUACUCGUGAUCGACCGAUAGUGAACCAGUACCGUGAGGGAAAGGCGAAAAGAACCCCGGGAGGGGAGUGAAACAGAUCCUGAAACCGCAUGCAUACAAACAGUCGGAGCCUCUGCAAAGGGGUGACGGCGUACCUUUUGUAUAAUGGGUCAGCGACUUACAUUCAGUGGCGAGCUUAACCGAUUAGGGCAGGCGUAGCGAAAGCGAGUCCGAACAGGGCGUCCAGUCGCUGGGUGUAGACCCGAAACCAGGUGAUCUAUCCAUGGCCAGGUUGAAGGCACGGUAACACGUGCUGGAGGACCGAACCCACUAACGUUGAAAAGUUAGGGGAUGAGCUGUGGAUAGGGGUGAAAGGCUAAACAAACCUGGAAAUAGCUGGUUCUCUCCGAAAACUAUUUAGGUAGUGCCUCGUGUAUCACCUUCGGGGGUAGAGCACUGUCAUGGUUGUGGGGUCCAUUGCGGAUUACUACGCCAUAGCAAACUCCGAAUACCGAAGAGUGCAAUCACGGGAGACAGACAUCGGGUGCUAACGUCCGGUGUCAAGAGGGAAACAACCCAGACCGCCAGCUAAGGUCCCCAAAUAUGGCUAAGUGGGAAACGAAGUGGGAAGGCUAAAACAGUCAGGAGGUUGGCUUAGAAGCAGCCACCCUUUAAAGAAAGCGUAAUAGCUCACUGAUCGAGUCGUCCUGCGCGGAAGAUGUAACGGGGCUAAGCCAUAUACCGAAGCUGCGGAUGCACAGUAAUGUGCAUGGUAGGAGAGCGUUCCGUAAGCCUGCGAAGGUGCACUGGAAAGUGUGCUGGAGGUAUCGGAAGUGCGAAUGCUGACAUGAGUAGCGAUAAAGGGGGUGAAAGGCCCCCUCGCCGUAAGCCCAAGGUUUCCUACGCAACGUUCAUCGGCGUAGGGUGAGUCGGCCCCUAAGGCGAGGCAGAAAUGCGUAGCUGAUGGGAAGCAGAUUAAUAUUUCUGCACCAUUGUGAAAUGCGAUGGGGGGACGGAUCGCGGAAGGUUGUCCGGGUGUUGGAAGUCCCGGUCGCUGCAUUGGAGAAGGCGCUUUGGCAAAUCCGGGCGCGCAAUUCAAGGGUGUGGCGCGAGCUUCUUCGGAAGCGAAGCAACUGGAAGGGGUUCCAGGAAAAGCCUCUAAGCUUCAGUUUCACAGUGACCGUACCGCAAACCGACACAGGUGGGCGAGAUGAGUAUUCUAAGGCGCUUGAGAGAACUCGGGAGAAGGAACUCGGCAAAUUGGUACCGUAACUUCGGGAUAAGGUACGCCCUGGUAGCUUGACUGGCCUGCGCCAGGAGGGUGAAAGGGUUGCAAUAAACUGGUGGCUGCGACUGUUUAAUAAAAACACAGCACUCUGCAAACACGAAAGUGGACGUAUAGGGUGUGACGCCUGCCCGGUGCCGGAAGAUUAAAUGAUGGGGUGCAAGCUCCUGAUUGAAGUCCCGGUAAACGGCGGCCGUAACUAUAACGGUCCUAAGGUAGCGAAAUUCCUUGUCGGGUAAGUUCCGACCUGCACGAAUGGCGUAACGAUGGCCACACUGUCUCCUCCCGAGACUCAGCGAAGUUGAAGUGUUUGUGAUGAUGCAAUCUCCCCGCGGCUAGACGGAAAGACCCCAUGAACCUUUACUGUAGCUUUGCAUUGGACUUUGAACCGGUCUGUGUAGGAUAGGUGGGAGGCUGUGAAGCGUGGACGCCAGUCUGCGUGGAGCCGUCCUUGAAAUACCACCCUGAUCUGUUUGAGGUUCUAACCUUAGGCCCUGAAUCGGGCUUGGGGACAGUGCAUGGUAGGCAGUUUGACUGGGGCGGUCUCCUCCCAAAGUGUAACGGAGGAGUACGAAGGUACGCUAGGUACGGUCGGAAAUCGUGCUGAUAGUGCAAUGGCAUAAGCGUGCUUGACUGUGAGACUGACAAGUCGAACAGGUGCGAAAGCAGGUCAUAGUGAUCCGGUGGUUCUGUAUGGAAGGGCCAUCGCUCAACGGAUAAAAGGUACUCUGGGGAUAACAGGCUGAUACCGCCCAAGAGUUCAUAUCGACGGCGGUGUUUGGCACCUCGAUGUCGGCUCAUCUCAUCCUGGGGCUGUAGCCGGUCCCAAGGGUAUGGCUGUUCGCCAUUUAAAGAGGUACGUGAGCUGGGUUUAAAACGUCGUGAGACAGUUUGGUCCCUAUCUGCCGUGGGCGCUGGAUAUUUGAAGGGGGCUGCUCCUAGUACGAGAGGACCGGAGUGGACGAACCUCUGGUGUACCGGUUGUCACGCCAGUGGCAUCGCCGGGUAGCUAUGUUCGGAAGAGAUAACCGCUGAAAGCAUCUAAGCGGGAAACUCGCCUUAAGAUGAGAUAUCCCCGGGGCUUCGAGCCCCUUGAAGGGUCGUUCAAGACCAGGACGUUGAUAGGUCAGGUGUGCACGUACAGUAAUGUACUGAGCUAACUGAUACUAAUUGCCCGUAAGGCUUGAUCCU